AGUUUGAUUGACACAGUUAAAAUUUGAUUUUGGUCAAAAAAUACCAUAAUCAAUACAGUCAAUCAUACAUUAAACAUGUGAAAGUUUGAAGCCACUAGUACAAGAAGCUGGUCGGUUUUCGCGCUUUCAUACACAUUU
rnacentral:snoRNA from 1 species